CAGGAUGAACGCUAGCUACAGGCUUAACACAUGCAAGUCGAGGGGCAGCAUUAUCGAAGCUUGCUUUGAUAGAUGGCGACCGGCGCACGGGUGAGUAACGCGUAUCCAACCUUCCCCAUAGUAGGGCAUAGCCCGUAGAAAUGCGGAUUAAUACCCUAUGUAUUCCGAGGAUGACAUCUGAUUCGGAACAAAGGUUCACCGCUAUGGGAUGGGGGAUGCGUCUGAUUAGGUAGUCGGCGGGGUAACGGCCCACCGAGCCAUCGAUCAGUAGGGGUUCUGAGAGGAAGGUCCCCCACAUUGGAACUGAGACACGGUCCAAACUCCUACGGGAGGCAGCAGUGAGGAAUAUUGGUCAAUGGGCGAGAGCCUGAACCAGCCAAGUAGCCGUGCAGGAAGACGGCCCUAUGGGUUGUAAACUGCUUUUAUACAGGGAUAAAGUCGGGGACGUGUUCCCCGUUUGCAGGUACUGUAUGAAUAAGGACCGGCUAAUUCCGUGCCAGCAGCCGC
rnacentral:rRNA from 1 species